rnacentral:rRNA from 1 species
UGUUUAUUAACAACAUUUCCACUCGUUUAAUUUUGAGUGGUAGUGCCUGCCCGAUGUUUAUAUCAAUGGCCGCAGUAUCUUGACUGUGCUAAGGUAGCAUAAUUAAUUGCCUCAUAAUUGGAGGAUUGUUUGAAAGGUUUGACUAGGUAGAGUUUCAUAGAUGGGGGUUUAUUAUGAAAUUAAAGUGCCUAUGCAGAUUUUGGCUAUCUUUAAUAAGACGGAAAGACCCCGAGAGCUUUAUACUUUGUGUUUACUUGGGGCAAGGGCAUGUUUUUCACAUGUUUUUAGAUCCUUUGGGGAUUGUAGGAUUAAGUUACCUCGGGGAUAACUAGGUAAGAGAUGAGGAGAGAUCAUAUCGGUUCAUCUAAUUGCCAUCUCGAUGUUGACUUGGGGUUGUUGGUACAGGUGCAGGAGCUUGUAUAAUAGGUCUGUUCGACCCGGUGCCCUUCAUGAUCU